rnacentral:rRNA from 1 species
GGAGCAAACAGGAUUAGAUACCCUGGUAGUCCACGCCGUAAACGAUGUCUACUUGGAGGUUGUGSCCUUGAGCCGUGGCUUUCGGAGCUAACGCGUUAAGUAGACCGCCUGGGGAGUACGGUCGCAAGAUUAAAACUCAAAUGAAUUGACGGGGGCCCGCACAAGCGGUGGAGCAUGUGGUUUAAUUCGAUGCAACGCGAAGAACCUUACCUACUCUUGACAUCCAGAGAACUUUCCAGAGAUGGAUUGGUGCCUUCGGGAACUCUGAGACAGGUGCUGCAUGGCUGUCGUCAGCUCGUGUUGUGAAAUGUUGGGUUAAGUCCCGCAACGAGCGCAACCCUUAUCCUUGUUUGCCAGCACUUCGGGUGGGAACUCCAGGGAGACUGCCGGUGAUAAACCGGAGGAAGGUGGGGACGACGUCAAGUCAUCAUGGCCCUUACGAGUAGGGCUACACACGUGCUACAAUGGCGCAUACAGAGGGCGGCCAACUUGCGAGAGUGAGCGAAUCCCAAAAAGUGCGUCGUAGUCCGGAUCGGAGUCUGCAACUCGACUCCGUGAAGUCGGAAUCGCUAGUAAUCGUGGAUCAGAAUGCCACGGUGAAUACGUUCCCGGGCCUUGUACACACCGCCCGUCUCAACAUGGGAGUGGGCUGCAAAAGAAGUAGGUAGUUUAACCUUCGGGAGGACGCUUA